rnacentral:rRNA from 1 species
CACGGGUGAGUAACACGUAUCCAACCUGCCGUCUACUCUUGGACAGCCUUCUGAAAGGAAGAUUAAUACAAGAUGGCAUCAUGAGUUCACAUGUUCACAUGAUUAAAGGUAUUCCGGUAGACGAUGGGGAUGCGUUCCAUUAGAUAGUAGGCGGGGUAACGGCCCACCUAGUCUACGAUGGAUAGGGGUUCUGAGAGGAAGGUCCCCCACAUGGAACUGAGACACGGUCCAA